AUGAAGGCUGGCGGCGUGCCUAAUACAUGCCAGUCGCGCGAACAGACGAGGAGCUUGCUCCUCUGACGUUAGCGGCGGACGGGUGAGUAACACGUGGAUAACCUACCUAUAAGACUGGGAUAACUUCGGGAAACCGGAGCUAAUACCGGAUAAUAUAUUGAACCGCAUGGUUCAAUAGUGAAAGACGGUUUUGCUGUCACUUAUAGAUGGAUCCGCGCCGCAUUAGCUAGUUGGUAAGGUAACGGCUUACCAAGGCAACGAUGCGUAGCCGACCUGAGAGGGUGAUCGGCCACACUGGAACUGAGACACGGUCCAGACUCCUACGGGAGGCAGCAGUAGGGAAUCUUCCGCAAUGGGCGAAAGCCUGAUGGAGCAACGCCGCGUGAGUGAUGAAGGUCUUCGGAUCGUAAAACUCUGUUAUUAGGGAAGAACAAAUGUGUAAGUAACUAUGCACGUCUUGACGGUACCUAAUCAGAAAGCCACGGCUAACUACGUG
rnacentral:rRNA from 1 species